rnacentral:lncRNA from 1 species
AUUCAUCUCUCAAAUAAACUAUAUAUAUUUUUUUUCCAAUUUCUAUAAAAACAAAGUGAUCUUCAAAUGCACCUCUCAACUAUAUAUAAGCAGCUAAAUAAAAUACAUACAGUUACGAUAUUUUUGACGACACAGUACUAAAUGAACAAAACACAAAUAUAGUUACAAUAUUUUUAACUGCAUAUAUCUCUAAUUGUAUUAUAUUUA